GUUUACCUGCUGUUGUCCCUUGUACAAUAGAACAUGUCGUGACCAGCGGUAAAGGAAAAUAAACUAUUCUGCUAAGGUGCAUUAAGUCAAAUAAUAUAAAAAAAAUACAUACAUCUGCAUUUGGCACAGCGGUUGAUGAUGUUACAUGUGGAGGUUGGCCCUGUGCGGUCGAUAGAAUGCAGGUUGCUGCAAAUACUGCAAGAGCAAGGAUCAUUAUGAAAUGCCUAUGCUAAAAUUACAAGCUGGUAGGCGUCAGUUUCUUUCAAACGGUUAUCGAAAUUAUGAC